rnacentral:misc_RNA from 1 species
AAGUCGUAACAAGGUUUCCGUAGGUGAACCUGCGGAAGGAUCAUUAACACGUAUCCAAACGUUAGAAAAAUCCCUGGUAAAUCAUCGCCGAACAGUUUUCGAUUCAGGGACGUCUGCAAGAAGCGUGCAUGUUGUGCGUGUAAGUGGCCUGGCAUCCCCAAGCAGUUAGUGUCUGAAAGUGUCACUAACGUUAGUGUCUGAAAGUGUCACUAACAUGUGUAAGGAUGACGCAGUCACGAUCGUUGGAGGCCCACACGGCCGACGACCGGGUCACUGGGUGCAAGCCCCCUUAUCACACCCCUGCUCUAUCUAUGGUGAUCCUGCGGGAAGUCCUGCGGUCGAACGCCGAAACCGAACAACUGUUAACAAUGGAUAUCUUGGUUCUC